rnacentral:lncRNA from 1 species
CAAACCCAAGUGCAGGUUGUCGCAAGUAGUAAAUCUCGGAAGUCCGAGGUCGAACCACAGGGAAUUGGAAGGAAAUAAACUAUUCUAUGAGUAAUAAACGGUUGGUGAAAAUACGAUUGAGAUGAACACUAGAGCAUUGGGGAUUCACUUCAGAUAAAUGAGUAGAAAUUGCACUUGAUCUUUAAUUUAACUCAUAUGAAAAUCAACUAAGGAGUGAUCUCAUAUGGAAGAUAAAACAUUAACCACAAAUAUAUUGAAAGAUAGAUCUUGAUAAUUGUUUGAGAGAAUAUGUCAAAAUAAGUUGUUGGUAUGUAGAGAUUAUCUAAGCAUUUAUUGUGCCAAAAUUGUCAACAAUAAAUCAAAGUCUUUAACAAACCAAAACCAUUUGUAGAACACAAACUUCAACCAAGUAAGAAGAUGAACAUUGAAGAACAAAAUGAAAGAUCAAAGACAAUACUAAACAUUCAUCAAAGUUUCACCCCUAGCUCUAGCUAAAU